rnacentral:rRNA from 1 species
CCUACGGGUGGCUGCAGUGAGGAAUAUUGCACAAUGGAGGAAACUCUGAUGCAGCAACGCCGCGUGGAGGAUGACGCAUUUCGGUGUGUAAACUCCUUUUAAGAGGGAAGAUAAUGACGGUACCUCUUGAAUAAGCACCGGCUAACUCCGUGCCAGCAGCCGCGGUAAUACGGAGGGUGCAAGCGUUACUCGGAAUCACUGGGCGUAAAGGGUGCGUAGGCUGGCUUCUAAGUCAGAUGUGAAAUCCAAUGGCUUAACCAUUGAACUGCAUUUGAAACUGGGAGCCUAGAGUUCAGAAGGGGCAGAUGGAAUUAGUGGUGUAGGGGUAAAAUCCGUAGAUAUCACUAGGAAUAUCAAAAGCGAAGGCGAUCUGCUGGGAUGAUACUGACGCUGAGGCACGAAAGCGUGGGGAGCAAACAGGAUUAGAUACCCUAGUAGUC